UCGAGAAUCUUUCGCAAUGGGCGAAAGCCUGACGAAGCGACGCCGUGUGAGCGAAGAAGGCCUUCGGGUUGUAAAGCUCUUUCGCUUGUGAACAAGAGAGGCGCACGAACAAUGCGCCGAUUUGAGGGUAACAGGUAAAGAAGCACCGGCUAACUCCGUGCCAGCAGCUGCGGUAAUACGGAGGGUGCAAGGAUUGAUCGGAUUUAUUGGGCGUAAAGGGCGCGUAGGCGGCCCGGCAAGUCAGACGUGAAAUACUGGGGCUCAACCCCAGUGCGGCGUUUGAAACUAUCGGGCUUGAGGCUAGUUAGGGAAAACGGAAUUCCACGUGUAGCGGUGAAAUGCGUAGAUAUGUGGAAGAACACCGGUGGUGAAGACGGUUUUCUGGGCUAGAACUGACGCU
rnacentral:rRNA from 1 species